rnacentral:rRNA from 1 species
AGUGAACGCUGGCGGCAGGCCUAACACAUGCAAGUCGAACGGCAGCACGGCAGUAGCAAUACUGUGGGUGGCGAGUGGCGGACGGGUGAGGAAUACAUCGGGAUCUACCCUGUUGUGGGGGAUAACGUAGGGAAACUUACGCUAAUACCGCAUAAGAACUGAGGUUGAAAGCGGCGGACCGCAAGGCGUCGCGCGAUUGGAUGAACCGAUGUCCGAUUAGCUAGUUGGCGGGGUAAAGGCCCACCAAGGCGACGAUCGGUAGCUGGUCUGAGAGGACGACCAGCCACACUGGAACUGAGACACGGUCCAGACUCCUACGGGAGGCAGCAGUGGGGAAUAUUGGACAAUGGGCGCAAGCCUGAUCCAGCCAUGCCGCGUGGGGUG